UGUAUGUGUAUGUGUGUGUGUGUGAGCUUAGAGCAAAGGGGUACGUUGGCGAUGGUAAUACAUAUUCGUGUGCAUUUGGAAAAACAUGGAACGAGUCGAUUAGCGUAAUAUCACGCACGCUGUAACGCACAUAUAACCGAAUAAUAUACUCUUCCAAAAAAAGUAACGAUGAUAUUUGGCCAAAAUCUCAACAAAUAAAGCGAAAAAAAGCAUUAGAUCCUUGUACAUGGAAAAAUGCUGAUUAAAUAAUAUUCAAGAAAAUUGAUUAUUUUAACCAAAGUAAAAAGUAUUCGACAAAUACUAUGGGGGCAUUUUUGGAUACUCCUAAAACAGAUAAAUAUAAUGAACAUGGGGCUGGUAAUGGAUUACGAUACGGCGUCUCCAGUAUGCAGGGUUGGCGAUUGGAAAUGGAAGAUGCUCAUAGAGCAAUAACCGGCUUGGAAGGUGGCCUUUCUGAUUGGAGUUAUUUUGCUGUGUUUGACGGGCAUGCAGGGGCAUUGGUAUCAGAGCACAGUGCAGAGCAUUUGUUAGAGUGCAUUAUGAAGACUGAAGAAUUCAAAGCAGAGGAUGUCAUUAAGGCAAUACAUUCUGGUUUUCUUCAGCUUGAUGUUGAAAUGAGAGACUUACCAGAGAUGAGCGAUGGAAAAGAUAAAUCUGGUUCGACAGCUGUCUGUGCAUUUAUAUCUCCCAGAAAUAUAUAUAUUGCUAAUUGUGGAGACUCCAGAGCAGUACUUUGCAGUGCUGGAUGCCCGGUAUUCUCUACUAGAGAUCAUAAACCGUUUUUAGCUGCAGAGAAAGAAAGAAUACAGAAUGCAGGUGGCAGUGUCAUGAUACAAAGAGUAAAUGGUGCAUUGGCAGUAUCAAGAGCAUUGGGAGACUACGAAUAUAAAAAUUUAAAAGAUAGGGGCCCCUGCGAACAGUUAGUGUCACCAGAACCAGAAAUAUUCGUAAGAGACAGAGAUGAUGAACACGAUGAAUUUCUAGUUUUAGCAUGUGAUGGUAUUUGGGAUGUUAUGAAUAAUGAAGACUUAUGUGGUUUUAUACGAUCAAGGCUAUUGCUUACGGAUGAUUUAGAAGCAGUGACAAAUCAAGUCAUAGACACAUGUCUUUACAAGGGUAGCAGAGACAAUAUGAGUAUUGUCUUGGUAACGUUCCCCGCGGCGCCAAAACCAAAUUCCGAAGCACAGGAAAAGGAAGCUGAACUGGAAAUAGCCAUUGAAAGGAGUAUUAAAGAAAUAGUAGCGGAACAAGAAGAAGAGGAGAAGUUCGAUUUCAUCAAACUAAUACAACUUCUUGUGGACCAACAGUUCCCCAAUCUACCUCCCGGAGGAGGACUUCAAUCUAAGCAACCUUUGAUUGAACAAGUGUUUCGAGAAGCAUGUCCUAAAAAAGCGAAUACUGUAAGUCUUAUAUACGAAAACCUUUGACAUGACUAACUUGUGAACAUUUUUUUAUACUGCAUCAAAUGUACAAUUAUAAUUAAUAGACUUAUCCCGUUUUCAUUCAUAUGAUGAUGCAGAUUUUAAACCAGAAAAACAUUUGUUUUACUGAUACUGAUAACUCGUGGAAUUCACAGUCCAGUUAGUGUACUGAGUAUGUAUACAGUUUGAUACAUGUGGUAUGCAAUAGACUGGCCCAGUCCAAUAGUGGUGAAAGUGAAAUGUCCAUCAACAAGAAACAUAGUGGAGUGCUACAUGAGCAGAGACUGUGCAAGGUGGCAAUAAAUGAUACAGACACAUAUUUCAUGAUAAUGAUUUAUCGUCAAAGUCAUCAUACAU
rnacentral:misc_RNA from 1 species